rnacentral:rRNA from 1 species
AACGAACGCUGGCGGCAUGCCUAACACAUGCAAGUCGAACGAGACCUUCGGGUCUAGUGGCGCACGGGUGCGUAACGCGUGGGAACCUGCCCUUAGGUUCGGAAUAACUCCCCGAAAGGGGUGCUAAUACCGGAUAAUGUCUUCGGACCAAAGAUUUAUCGCCUUUGGAUGGGCCCGCGUUGGAUUAGCUAGUUGGUAGGGUAAAAGCCUACCAAGGCGACGAUCCAUAGCUGGUCUGAGAGGAUGAUCAGCCACACUGGGACUGAGACACGGCCCAGAAUCCUACGGGAGGCAGCAGUGGGGAAUAUUGGACAAUGGGCGCAAGGAUGAUCCAGCAAUGCCGGGUGAGUGAUGAAGGCCUUAGGGUUGUAAAGCUCUUUUACACGGGAUGAUAAUGACAGUACCGGGAGAAUAAGCUCCGGCUAACUCCGUG